rnacentral:rRNA from 2 species
AAAUUGAAGAGUUUGAUCAUGGCUCAGAUUGAACGCUGGCGGCAGGCCUAACACAUGCAAGUCGAACGGUAACAGGAAGCAGCUUGCUGUUUCGCUGACGAGUGGCGGACGGGUGAGUAAUGUCUGGGAAACUGCCUGAUGGAGGGGGAUAACUACUGGAAACGGUAGCUAAUACCGCAUAACGUCGCAAGACCAAAGAGGGGGACCUUCGGGCCUCUUGCCAUCGGAUGUGCCCAGAUGGGAUUAGCUAGUAGGUGGGGUAACGGCUCACCUAGGCGACGAUCCCUAGCUGGUCUGAGAGGAUGACCAGCCACACUGGAACUGAGACACGGUCCAGACUCCUACGGGAGGCAGCAGUGGGGAAUAUUGCACAAUGGGCGCAAGCCUGAUGCAGCCAUGCCGCGUGUAUGAAGAAGGCCUUCGGGUUGUAAAGUACUUUCAGCGGGGAGGAA